CCUACGGGAGGCAGCAGUGGGGGAUAUUGCACAAUGGGGGGAACCCUGAUGCAGCGACGCCGCGUGGGUGAAGGAGUGCUUCGGAAUGUAAAGCCCUAUCGGCAGGGAAGAAGCAAGACGGUACCUGACUAAGAAGCCCCGGCUAACUACGUGCCAGCAGCCGCGGUAAUACGUAGGGGGCAAGCGUUGUCCGGAAUUACUGGGUGUAAAGGGAGCGUAGACGGCGCGGCAAGUCUGAAGUGAAAGGCAGAGGCUUAACCCCUGAACUGCAUAGGAAACUGCCAUGCUAGAGUGCUGGAGAGGUAAGUGGAAUUCCUAGUGUAGCGGUGAAAUGCGUAGAUAUUAGGAGGAACACCAGUGGCGAAGGCGGCUUACUGGACAGUAACUGACGUUGAGGCUCGAGAGCGUGGGGAGCAAACAGGAUUAGAUACCCUUGUAGUC
rnacentral:rRNA from 1 species